rnacentral:ncRNA from 5 species
GUAGGUGAACCUGCGGAAGGAU